CCAAAGGAGAUGCCAUUUCUCCCCUCCAAACCCACCCACAGCCCUCUGGAGAGAAAUGAGAGAAUUACUUGUUAACAUUUACAUGGCCAUCUUAACAUUUGCAAGGAAAUACUGAGGUCCAGGGGGACAGUAAUCUGCCCGAAAUCACUCAGUCUUCCUGAGUGAGAGCCAGACAGAAAUCCAAGCCUACCGACUCCCAGUCUCAUACUCGGGAAAUGGCUGGAUCUGCCAGCCAGUAAGCAGACCUCAGCCCUGUAGGAAAGGUGGCCUAGAUUUCAUGAAAGAAUGGACAAUAAAAAAA
rnacentral:lncRNA from 1 species